AGUGAACGCUGGCGGUAGGCCUAACACAUGCAAGUCGAACGGCAGCACAGUAAGAGCUUGCUCUUCCGGGUGGCGAGUGGCGGACGGGUGAGGAAUACAUCGGAAUCUACUUUUUCGUGGGGGUUAACGUAGGGAAACUUACGCUAAUACCGCAUACGACCUACGGGUGAAAGCAGGGGAUCUUCGGACCUUGCGCGAUUGAAUGAGCCGAUGUCGGAUUAGCUAGUUGGCGGGGUAAAGGCCCACCAAGGCGACGAUCCGUAGCUGGUCUGAGAGGAUGAUCAGCCACACUGGAACUGAGACACGGUCCAGACUCCUACGGGAGGCAGCAGUGUGGAAUAUUGGACAAUGGGCGCAAGCCUGAUCCAGCCAUACCGCGUGGGUGAAGAAGGCCUUCGGGUUGUAAAGCCCUUUUGUUGGGAAAGAAAAGCAGCAGGUUAAUACCCCGCUGUUCUGACGGUACCCAAAGAAUAAGCACCGGCUAACUUCGUG
rnacentral:rRNA from 1 species